CCUAGAGUUGUAGGCUUUGCCUGCUAUCUCUUACCCAUGUCUUUUGAGUACCUUCGUUUUCCCUCGGCGGGUCCGCCCCGCCGAUUGGACAAUUUUAAAACCAUUUGCAGUUGCAAUCAGCGUCUGAAAAAAAACUUAAUAGUUA
rnacentral:misc_RNA from 1 species